rnacentral:rRNA from 1 species
GGAAUAUUGGUCAAUGGGCGGAAGCCUGAACCAGCCAUGCCGCGUGCAGGAAUGAGGCCCUAUGGGUCGUAAACUGCUUUUGCUGCGGAGCAAUAAGUGCUACGUGUAGCGCGAUGAGAGUACGCAGCGAAUAAGCAUCGGCUAACUCCGUGCCAGCAGCCGCGGUAAUACGGAGGAUGCGAGCGUUAUCCGGAUUUAUUGGGUUUAAAGGGUGCGUAGGCUGUUCGUCAAGUCAGUGGUGAAAUGCCGGGGCUCAACCCCGGAGCUGCCAUUGAUACUGUCGGGCUUGAAUCCUGCUGCCGUGGGAGGAAUGAGUAGUGUAGCGGUGAAAUGCAUAGAUAUUACUCAGAACACCGAUUGCGAAGGCAUCUCACGAAACAGGCAUUGACGCUGAGGCACGAAAGCGUGGGGAUCAAACA